GGAGAGAUGGCAGAGUGGUCUAUUGCAACGGUCUUGAAAACCGUCGUACCGAGAGGUACCGGGGGUUCGAAUCCCUCUCUCUCCG
rnacentral:tRNA from 1 species